rnacentral:rRNA from 1 species
GAUCCGGCUAACUACAAGACCGGAAGAAUAAGCACCGGCUAACUACGUGCCAGCAGCCGCGGUAAUACGUAGGGUGCAAGCGUUAAUCGGAAUUACUGGGCGUAAAGCGUGCGCAGGCGGUUGUGCAAGUCUGAUGUGAAAGCCCCGGGCUUAACCUGGGAACGGCAUUGGAGACUGCACGACUAGAGUGCGUCAGAGGGGGGUAGAAUUCCACGUGUAGCAGUGAAAUGCGUAGAGAUGUGGAGGAAUACCGAUGGCGAAGGCAGCCCCCUGGGAUGACACUGACGCUCAUGCACGAAAGCGUGGGGAGCAAACAGGAUUAGAUACCCUGGUAGUCCACGCCCUAAACGAUGUCAACUAGCUGUUGGGGGUUUGAAUCCUUGGUAGCGUAGCUAACGCGUGAAGUUGACCGCCUGGGGAUUACGGCCCCAAGGUUUAAACUCACAUGAUUUGACGGAAUC